UGGCAGUGGAGACACAAAUAAAAGGGUACCGACCCGACUCGUACCGAACCGUACCGCUCGGUGGAAACGCGCCAAAAGUCACGUCGACACGAGUAGCCAUUGGUUUCAUGCAACGUUAGUUAGAUUGCAGUGGGGAAAGUCCCCCGUUAACGCUACAGUUGCGCUUGCACACUUUUCUUUAGCCUCAUGAAUUUGACCUUUUUAUAUGCCCCUCUCGAGCUGUUAGCUACAUUAAGCUGCCUGUAAAAGAUAAGGAAGGAGAAAUCAUCUCAGUGUGCAUCAUGGUGACGUUAGACAAGUGAUAUUGGAGAUCUUAGCUAGCUUCUUUGACUCUUGUAGACUCAACAGGAAGCAUGACAAAAACUAAGUAUAAUUGUAUUCAUAUCAAUAGGGUAUAUGUAUACACUAAGUACAACUUCCCAAUUUAUACCUUUCAGAAAAAGUGCUCAUGGCAACUCUGCUGCUUCAUUAACACGGGAUGCCAGUUCACUAAAGGUCAUUCCAUUGCUGCAUGGUGAGUGCCACCGCCACCAGCUUGUCUGCUGCCUCCAAUGCCUCUGACGAUACAGAGAUUCUGUCCACGCACAGCUCAUCACCGAGACAAAAGCAAUGGCCUGAGUUUUUUGACAUUCCAAAUUUCUCAGUUGAUGUUGAAUUCCGACUGAGACAGGCUAAUAAGGCAUGUCUGCACGAACAGACAUACCUGAAUGUACUGAGAGACGUAAAGCAUAGUAUUUUGGAAAAGCUUGCUGAAACAAUUUACUUAUUUGAUGCCUAUCCAAAAGAAGAAAGGAUCCAUUCCGUGGCAUUGGCACUAAUUAGAAAACAUCCCUGCCUGAAGGAACCAGGCUCACUAGAUGGAUGUUCUGGUUGGAAGAAUAGCUUAAAAUUUAAAAUGGGGAACUAUCGCACUAAAUUGAGAAGAGUGGGAUGUGUAGAGGUUGCUAUAAAUGGGUGCAAACAAGGUGCCCCUGAAAUGGCAUCAAAAGGCCUGAAAUGACCAAAAAGGUUUGAGAUAAAUUACCUUACAAGAUCUCCCCGAUGGUCAUGAUGAAGAUAGCCUAGAGGCUGUGAGAAAGCUUCUAGAGAUGAAAAGAUGGAACCCCGGUGGAACUGUGAUCGCAUCAAAGAUGGACCAGACUUUCGCACUGCAGAGAUGGGAGAUUGUGGAGGCCGGACCUCCAGUGACAACAUUGAAGGAGAGGUGGCCAGGUCUUUUUACAGCUAUCUAUUUUUGGGCUAUCAUAUGCCUUACACUUGGACUACCCUAAAGCCAUGAAAAACACUUUUAACUUCAUUCAAAAAGCGAUGGUUGGCUUGGGACAGGACAAACUUACACCAAAACUUCAAACCCUUAAACUUCUCCUGUUGAGUUAAAAUAUAAAUGGCCGCAUGAGUGACGUUCGGCAUUUGAUCUCACUUGUUGAUCACAAUAGUAUAGUUUCAGGGUUUUUUUUGUUAUGUUGGCUAAAUUAAGGGACUCCUUUCAAAUUCUCCUCAGUAGGUCUGUCUAGAUCUGCCGGUGUAUGUUUGAAAUAGUGUGAGAUUGAUUGCCUGCCAUUUAUCUUUUCACGGCUUGCUAUUGGUGUUAAUGUAGGAUAACAUACUAAAUUGUUCACAAUAUUCCUGUGGAAGUGAGCAUUUGGUGUUUAAGAUUGUUAUUGUAAAACUUAUAGGACUUGUCUAUUUUAUUACCAAAUUAUAAGUUUUAAUAAAUAUUCAAAAUGUAUUGGAGCCAAAAUCCAAAAGUAUGUUGUUGGAUGUGUUUGUUUAUUGCCCAAUAAUUCAGUAACGUUUGGCGAUUUUUUAAUAAUGUUGCUUAUAUGGUGCAUAGAUGCCCAUAUUUUCUAUGACAAUAGUUGCACACUGUCUCUUAAAUGUGCUUUAAACCAGCACAAUACAAUUUUAAACACGUAAGUGCUCUGUGCCGUUUUUGAGAUGUAGUGAUAUUAAGCAAUACUGACUUUUUAGGAACAAUCCUGUUUUCAGCACUUUAAAUCUCAAUGUCAAAAUAUGUGCUACACUGAGGAUCCUCCUAUACUGCUACCUCAACUGUUCAAAAGAUGCACCCUUGUCUUGCUUCUGAGUAACUAAAACUGGUUUGUUGUUGCAUUCAAUUUAAAAAGAACCAAUGCUGGUUGUUAUGGAAGUAAGAAAAAAUAAAAGCAUAUCAUAUAAUUGAA